rnacentral:piRNA from 1 species
UGAAGGACCCUAAGCAGCCCUUUG